ACGGGUGAGUAACACGUGGGCAACCUGCCCUUGAGACUGGGAUAACUUCGGGAAACCGGAGCUAAUACCGGAUAAUAUAAGGAACCUCCUGGUUCCUUGUUGAAAGAUGGUUUCGGCUAUCACUUAAGGAUGGGCCCGCGGCGCAUUAGCUAGUUGGUGAGGUAACGGCUCACCAAGGCGACGAUGCGUAGCCGACCUGAGAGGGUGAUCGGCCACACUGGGACUGAGACACGGCCCAGACUCCUACGGGAGGCAGCAGUAGGGAAUCUUCCACAAUGGACGAAAGUCUGAUGGAGCAACGCCGCGUGAGUGAUGAAGGCCUUCGGGUCGUAAAGCUCUGUUGUUAGGGAAGAACAAGUGCGAGAGUAACUGCUCGUACCUUGACGGUACCUAACCAGAAAGCCACGGCUAACUACGUGCCAGCAGCCGCGGUAAUACGUAGGUGGCAAGCGUUAUCCGGAAUUAUUGGGCGUAAAGCGCGCGCAGGUGGUUUCUUAAGUCUGAUGUGAAAGCCCACGGCUCAACCGUGGAGGGUCAUUGGAAACUGGGGAACUUGAGUGCAGAAGAGGAAAGUGGAAUUCCAAGUG
rnacentral:rRNA from 1 species